AUUCAGGAGAGCCCCCAAGAUCCACCCAGCCUAGAAAACAGAACAGAAAGGAGAGAGCAGACAACGACCGCUCAGCCACUGCGGCAGACUUCCCUACGGCACACAAAGAUUCCAAGAAUGCAAGGGUCAUUGACAAUCUAUGCCUGAAAAGUUGGAAUAGUACAUUUAUUUGUAUUUUUCUUUUCUAUCGUCGGGAGGUUUUUUCUUUUAUGAGCGGGGGUGCC